CGGCAACAGCUCAAAUUUGAAAUCUGGCCCCUCGGGGUCCGAGUUGUAAUUUGUAGAGGAUGCUUUUGGUGAGGUGCCGCCCGAGUUCCCUGGAACGGGACGCCACAGAGGGUGAGAGCCCCGUC
rnacentral:rRNA from 1 species